rnacentral:lncRNA from 1 species
UUUUUUUUACUCAUAAGUUUAAUAUAGGUUUUUGCUAUGCUUGUGGGUUUGGGUUUAGGGUUAAGCUAGAAUUGUAAUUAACUCCGUGGUUUUCUGUAUCAUGAACGGUUUGAUAAAAGACCCUGAAAAGACCAGGAUGUAGUGUUUUUUUCGGGGGAGUUGGUAUUUCAGUACUGCUUUGGUUUCUUUCACAAUUCUUGACCUAUUGUUGUCUAGGUUUUAAGUCUACCAUUUAG